GCCACAUUAAACAUUGAAACACUGGUUCUUAUACAAUCACUGAAGUUAAGCAAUAUCAAGCCUGGGUAGUACCUAGAUGGGUAACUAUUUGGGAAUAUCAGGUGCUGUAAG